rnacentral:rRNA from 1 species
UAGGGAAUCUUCNUUCAAUGGACGGAAGUCUGACCGAGCAACGCCGCGUGAGUGAAGAAGGUUUUCGGAUCGUAAAGCUCUGUUGUAAGAGAAGAACGAGUGUGAGAGUGGAAAGUUCACACUGUGACGGUAUCUUACCAGAAAGGGACGGCUAACUACGUGCCAGCAGCCGCGGUAAUACGUAGGUCCCGAGCGUUGUCCGGAUUUAUUGGGCGUAAAGCGAGCGCAGGCGGUUAGAUAAGUCUGAAGUUAAAGGCUGUGGCUUAACCAUAGUAGGCUUUGGAAACUGUUUAACUUGAGUGCAAGAGGGGAGAGUGGAAUUCCAUGUGUAGCGGUGAAAUGCGUAGAUAUAUGGAGGAACACCGGUGGCGAAAGCGGCUCUCUGGCUUGUAACUGACGCUGAGGCUCGAAAGCGUGGGGAGCAAACAGGAUUAGAUACCCUGGUAGUCCACGCUGUAAACGAUGAGUGCUAGGUGUUAGACCCUUUCCGGGGUUUAGUGCCGUAGCUAACGCAUUAAGCACUCCGCCUGGGGAGUACGACCGCAAGGUUG